CUCUCGAUAAGCGCAUGCGCACACACAGCAUACCCAUCCCCCACCCCUGACUGACUUUUCAACGAACUCCUUGCCACUGGUGGUGACUUCAACCGUCACUUUUCUGUCAUGCAUUUGACUGCAAGCUGUACAAACUCUGCCUUCAUCAUAUCCAAGGCAGUGAGUUGUGAGGACUGCUUCCCUGAGAACACUGAGUGCAUUCUGGAAUAUUCCAAAUGUGUGCCACUUCCAUACAAAAGAUCCCGCAAGAGAGUUCACUCACCAGACCAGGGCAAAGUCGGUCUGUCCUGCUACUACUACAUGCUACUUGACUAUGUCUGGAAGCCAUGGCUGCUGCCCUCAACAUGCUAAACUGAAACCCUCACAAAUAAACUGAUAUCAAUAAUUGGUGAUAACAUAACAUUGAAUGUGAUGGUGGCAAGGGUGCCUUCAUAAGGUGCCAUCCAGCAAGUCCCAGCCUGGAGCCAGAGGCUGGCACUGCACGUCAGAUGGGGGAGGAUCUAUGUUAGGCAUCAGAAAGGUGGUUUAAGCAAGAAGGAAAGAGCUUCUGCAGACAGUGUUGCAAUUAGACACCUGACUUUUACUGCCAAAGGGACCAUCAGAGCACCUUUCCCUACCAUCUAUACCAGAAGAGUACGGACAAGGGCCCAAAAUGUUUUAAAGGACGUUGCACGCCCAGACCAUGGACUGUUUAAACCACUGUGGUCAAGCAGAAGUCUCUGUUCUCACUCGAGGCAGGUCAUUGAGAGUGUCACUGCGUAAGCCCCCUACUGCAGGCGAGAAAGCCAUGUUGAUUUGAAUAUUGAUUGAUAAAUACAAUAAAGGCCAUGUAACAAA